CCCGAGUCUCCCUGUUGCUAAAAGUCCGGAAUAAAGUCACUCACUAAUCUUACCACUCCACCUAAAGUUAACAUAGUCUCCGGUUGGAAGAGACAGGGUCAAGCUAAAACUAGUACUAGUAGUGAUUUGAAUGUUAGCGGGUCAGGAGGGGGCGUGGCAGGAGGCGGAGUAGAGGGAGAGACGGAUAAAGAGGAGACACUGCCUGAUGGAUGGAACGGUCAAGAGCUUAUCUUGUUUCGUAUGUUGAGGCCUAUUUAUUGUCAUAAUUAUUGCUCAAUGGCUGAAGUAAUUGAGUCAAAGACAUGUCAAGAGGUGUAUUCCUAUGCUAGUACAUUGCCACUGGAUCCAAUACUAAACCAGCACCCAUCACGUCCACCUGGAACUAGCCAGAAAAGAAAAAACAUGAGGGCUUGGCCCGGAUUCAAUACCACAGGAAGAUCAAACGUGUAGCAGGUCAAGCUACCUAUCAGUUCAACUAUCAGCCGUGCUAUCAUCCAGGACUACCUUGUGACCAGGAGUGUCAGUGUGUCUCUUCCAAUAACUUCUGUGAGAAAUACUGCAACUGUAACCCUGACUGUGAGUUAAUAAUAAUCAUGAGAGCAUCACCUACAGUACUUAGACUCUGA